rnacentral:rRNA from 1 species
AAACCAACAGGGAUUGCCUUAGUAGCGGCGAGUGAAGCGGCAAGAGCUCAAAUUUGAAAUCUGGUACCUUCGGUGCCCGAGUUGUAAUUUGAAGAAAGCUAUCUUGGAUUUGGCCUUUGUCUAUGUUCCUUGGAACAGGACGUCACAGAGGGUGAGAAUCCCGUCUGAUGGGGUGUCCAUUUCUAUGUAAGAUGUUUUCGAA